AGAGUAGUAAUUUAAAAAAAAUAUUUAUUUUGCAUAUAAAAUUUGUGAGAGCACUUACUUUG
rnacentral:tRNA from 1 species